GACGAACGCUGGCGGCGUGCCUAACACAUGCAAGUCGAGCGAGUGAAUCUCCUUCGGGAGUGAAGCUAGCGGCGGACGGGUGAGUAACACGUGGGCAACCUGCCUCAUAGAGGGGAAUAGCCUUCCGAAAGGAAGAUUAAUACCGCAUAAGAUUGUAGCUUCGCAUGAAGUAGCAAUUAAAGGAGCAAUCCGCUAUGAGAUGGGCCCGCGGCGCAUUAGCUAGUUGGUGAGGUAACGGCUCACCAAGGCGACGAUGCGUAGCCGACCUGAGAGGGUGAUCGGCCACAUUGGGACUGAGACACGGCCCAGACUCCUACGGGAGGCAGCAGUGGGGAAUAUUGCACAAUGGGGGAAACCCUGAUGCAGCAACGCCGCGUGAGUGAUGACGGCCUUCGGGUUGUAAAGCUCUGUCUUCAGGGACGAUAAUGACGGU
rnacentral:rRNA from 1 species